rnacentral:lncRNA from 1 species
CUCUGUGAACAGCCAGUCUCCUGGACACCUCAUUAUUCUCUCUUGUCUGUCUGUUAAAUACUGGGAUCUCCAUGAUCCCAAUAGUUCUAUGCUUUGUCUUAUGUUCUGUAAAUCUUGCUUCAUAAUUUUUGAACACAUUGUGACAUUUAAGAUGUAUCAAGGAAUUGAUCAUUACAAAAUGCCCUUUAUUCCUGGUUGUAGUUUUUUCUUAAGUCUAUUUGUCUGCUGUUAAUAUAGCCACUCUGGCAUUAAAACAAUUAGAAUUAAUAGUCUUUCUCUCUCAUAUCUACAUACAUACAUAUAUAUAUAUGUAUAUAUGCAUGUAUACACACAUACAUACAUAUAUAUAAUUUUACAUAUACAUAUAUAGACACACAUAUAUAUUCAUCAUCUUAGUUUACUUAAAAACUCUUAUUUUAUGUGUGUGUAUUUGUCUGCAUGUACCUUGUGAUUGCCUAGUGCCCUUCAGGGUGAGAAGAGGACAUUGGGUCCCCUAAGCUGCAGCUAUAGACAGUUGUGAGCACUUCUGUGGAUUCUGGGAAUCGAACCCAAGUCCUCUUGCAAGACAGGUGGUAUUCUUUAACCACUGAGCCAGCCCUCAGUCUUCGGAAUUCUUUAACUCCUGAGCCAGCCCUCAGUCCCUCAUUGUUUUACUUUUAGCCAUAAUACUUUUUCUUCAAGGAACUGUUCUUUUUCUUCUGUUAUUUUAAAAUAUAUUUUACUUUUGAAAUUAUAGUACAACUACAUUUUCCUCUUGUCAUUCCUCCCUCCAACUUCUUGCGUCUAACAAACACCCCAUAUUCUCUCUCAAAUUCAUGCCUUCUUUUUAUUUGUUGACAUUAUUCCUAAAUAUACAAAUACAGCCUGCUUAGGCCAUAUAAUGUUACUUGUCAAUGUAUGUUUUCAGGGCUGACCACUUGGGAUUGGAUAGCCAACAGAGGGGUUCUUCCAGAGGAAGGCUGCGUCUCCCACUCUGAGCAAUCUUAGUUGCCUGUAGUUCCUUGUGUAGAGUUGGAGCCCCGUAAGAUCCCUGCCCUCCGUGCUGUUGCCUGUUGGUGUUGUCCUUCCUCAGGUCUUGUUCAGGCAGCCAUGUUGAUGAGCCCUCUUGGGUGUUAGGUGGCUUCUCUGUCGUUUGUAGAAGACAGGAUCUUGCAGUAGACAUUCUGUUCUGCAGCUGGAGUCACUCCACCCCCUUCCCAUAGUGCCCCUGAGUCUGGGGGCAGGAGUUGAGUUGUCAAUGUCUUGGUUGGAUCUGAUCAGAUGUGACUUUCUGGAAUGGUCUAAUCUGUCGCAGAGUGAAGGCUGCGAUGAGGGAGGAGAGAGAGACACUGAGGUGUAGGUGUGAGGGUGAGUUCUUAGUGUGUGCUUAGGAACUAAGUAAGCUGCUUAGGGAAAUGAGGAUCUGUGACCUCACUGCCUCUGAGUACCUGGCUGCAUUUCCAGUACCAGGCACGACUUCUCUCUUGUUAAAGAACCUUAAGUCCAAUUAGAGAGCUGUUGGUUACCGCCAGAGUGCCUCACCUCACACUUAGGAGUUUACCAUGACAUGGUGUUGCCGUUGUGCCUAUUGGCUGCUGUCCUCCCCACGAAGCUUGUGUGACUCCUUCUGGUACCAUGAGAGCCAGUCCUCAGGGAGGGAUUUUCAGGUCAGAUCCAGCUCAGAUCCUUUGGGGCCUGUAUCUGAAGUGCAAGGUGUCUUCAGCAGUAGGGACUCGCCUUCCACCUCUGGAGGCAACCAACAGCAACCAAGAGCAUGCUGCUCUGGGAGUCUCUUGGACUCCCUUGACUGACAACACGAAAGGCGCUUCUCAGGCCUGAUAGGAGGACUUAUAUUAGAUGUUCUAUGUUUCUUGGGGAAGAGCAUCCCCAAGAAUGUCAUCCCACGUGGGAAUAUUUUAUUUAAGCUUGUGUAAAUGUAGAUAAAUACAUAAUAAUAGCUAAAUAUAUAUAUUACAAUUCUUUGUGGUUUUUCCAGAUGUCAUUACUAUUAUCCCCCUCCAUCCUGCUCUCUUUCUUUCUGGAUUGACUGUCUUCCCUUCUGUAAUUAAAGCCCUUUCCUAUUUUCUCCAUUUCUUUCUUCCAGUGACUUCUGUGGUACUCCCCCUAACUCCCGUGUUCCCCUCUGAAGACCUCUUUAUGCUUCCCUGCUUUCUGUAGUUGCUACAAGGCAUUAGUCUUUAUUAAAAACCUUGAGGCUAUUUUUGUUUAAAACUUUGAGGAUAUUUAAUAGAAAAUAGAUAUAAUCUGUAUACAGAAUACAGAUUAAACAGUCUCAAUCAGAGCUGGCCUUAGACUGUGUAGCCAGUAGUGACCUUGAACUUCUGACCCUCCUGCUUCCACUGGGAUUAUAGGUUUUUGCGAGGCUGGACAUAGAAUCUAAGGUCAUGCUAGGCAAGCACGCUCGGCUCCUAGCUGAGCCACAUGCCCAGAGUUGAAGCAGCUCUUUAAAUAAGUAAGGCAGGAUGGUUCAUGCAGUCUUGAUAAAGCCCAGAAGACCAUGCUAUAUGUUCCAUUAUGAG